UGGACCAGUGGUGAUGAUUCUGGCAUAUGAGUCAAGGAUGCUGAAUAACAAGUGUCUGGAAGUCAGAGGUCCAA